ACAGAUCGUGAUGGCCUUAGA
rnacentral:miRNA from 1 species